rnacentral:rRNA from 1 species
GCGUUCGCAGCUAUAAUGCAGUCGACGGCAGCACGGGUAGCAAUACCUGGUGGCGAGUGGCGCACGGGUGCGUAACGCGUAUGCAACCUACCUAUAACCGGGGAAUAGCCUUCUGAAAGGAAGAUUAAUACCGCAUAAUAUCACUGGACGGCAUCGCCCGGUGAUCAAAACUCCGGUGGUUAUAGAUGGGCAUGCGUGACAUUAGCUAGUUGGUGAGGUAACGGCUCACCAAGGCUACGAUGUCUAGGGGGUCUGAGAGGAUGAUCCCCCACACUGGUACUGAGACACGGACCAGACUCCUACGGGAGGCAGCAGUAAGGAAUAUUGGACAAUGGGCGCAAGCCUGAUCCAGCCAUGCCGCGUGAAGGAUGACGGCCCUCUGGGUUGUAAACUUCUUUUAUACGGGAAUAAACCCCUCGAUUCUUCGGGGGCUGAAUGUACUGUAAGAAUAAGGAUCGGCUAACUUCGUGCCAGCAGCCGCGGUAAUACGAAGGAUCCAAGCGUUAUCCGGAUUUAUUGGGUUUAAAGGGUGCGUAGGCGGACUAUUAAGUCAGUGGUGAAAGCCUGCAGCUUAACUGCAGAACUGCCAUUGAUACUGAUGGUCUUGAGUACAUUUGAGGUGGGCGGAAUGUGUCAUGUAGUGGUGAAAUACUUAGAUAUGAUACAGAACUCCAAUUGCGAAGGCAGCUCACUAAACUGUAACUGACGCUGAGGCACGAAAGCGUGGGGAUCAAACAGGAUUAGAUACCCUGGUAGUCCACGCCCUAAACGAUGAUUACUCGAUGUGUGCGAUACACAGUACGCGUCUGAGCGAAAGCAUUAAGUAAUCCACCUGGGGAGUACGGUCGCAAGACUGAAACUCAAAGGAAUUGACGG